CCUACGGGAGGCAGCAGUGGGGAAUCUUGCGCAAUGGACGAAAGUCUGACGCAGCCAUGCCGCGUGAAUGAUGAAGGUCUUAGGAUUGUAAAGUUCUUUAGCCUGUGACGAUGAUGACGGUAACAGGAGAAUAAGCCCCGGCUAACUUCGUGCCAGCAGCCGCGGUAAUACGAAGGGGGCUAGCGUUGUUCGGAAUUACUGGGCGUAAAGCGCGCGUAGGCGGUUAUGCAAGCCAGAGGUCGAAAUGCCUGAGCUCAACUUAGGAAUUGCCUUUGGAACUGCAUGGCUUUGAGGACGAGAGAGGUGAGUGGAAUUCCCAGUGUAGAGGUGAAAUUCGUAGAUAUUGGGAAGAACACCGGUGGCGAAGGCGGCUCACUGGCUCGUUUCUGACGCUGUAGCGCGAAAGCGUGGGGAUCAAACAGGAUUAGAUACCCUGGUAGUCCACGCUGUAAACGAUGAGUGCUAGGCGUUGGCACGCUUGCGUGUCAGUGCGCNGCACGCGUGAGCACCNCCGCCGUGGGAGGUACGGUCGCGAGAAGUAAACUACAAGUAGUAGUAGACGGCGUGAGACGNGCCGACGGACGACGACGAGGGAGGAGG
rnacentral:rRNA from 1 species